rnacentral:lncRNA from 1 species
GGCGCAUAUGUGGUAGAUGCUGGGAUUGCAAAUGGCAAAGAGCAUAGACACAGCCUCCACCUACGUGGAUUUAGUUUCUGUGGCUGAGGGAGUUUGUGUAAGAGGCGCCAAGAAGUCAGAUGGGGAAGCCUUCCUGCUCAGCUGGGAGAGCCUGUGGACGACACAGUGCAGCCUGGCCUUUCAGCUGCCAGCCUGACCAGCCCGACUCUCAAGCCCUCCCACAUCCUCAGAAGAGAAUUCUCUUCCCACUGAAGGUAGACCAUCCCCCCCUUCACAUCACCCUGAGGAUAAAUGAGUCACGGGAAGAGCAUCGUCCAUCGGAGAGCAGCGGGAAGGACCACUCGGGGGCCGUGAAGCAUCCAGCGAACUCCCAGUUGGCUCAAAGGAAGCUCCUUGUUGCAGGUUGACUUCACACAGACCUCCACUUCGCAUCUGAUUAGACAAGAUGGCAGCGCUUCCGCAUCUGCUCCCGCUGUGGGCCAGGUGAGUGGCGUCCACAUUGCAGGAAUUCACUGCCCACUGGGCACUUAGCGGCUCCCGGGAAGAAGCUGACUGGGGGAGGUCCCAGAGCAAACUGGGGAAACAGACAAAGUCGAUCCUGGGCCCAUUGGGGCGCCUCCAGGCUGCUUAAGCCCAUCAUUGCUCCUAUGGGUCUGCCUCAAGAUGUUACAGUUCUCCCUUCUUGGAAUUUACUGUUCCCAUCGUCUCAUCCUGCAGCCUUGACCUGACCAAUCGGUGCUAAUACAUGAAUGAAAAGGGACCAAUUAUUCUACCCAGUGAAGAGAACUGCAUCUUAACAGAAGCUUUCUGGAGUUAAUGUUGUAACCCAAAGGGAAACUUGCAAAGGAGCAAUUUUAUAACUCCAAGAAGACUGCUGGAGGACAGGUGUUUGAG